rnacentral:rRNA from 1 species
UGGGCCUGGAAUAUUUAAAGUCUGGACCUGCCCACUGAAAUUUUAAAUGGCCGCAGUAUUUUGACUGUGCGAAGGUAGCAUAAUAAUUAGUUUUUUAAUUAAAAGCUGGAAUGAAUGGUUGAACGAAGAAAAAACUGUCUCUAUUUAAAUUUUUUAGAAUUUUAUUUUUAAGUUAAAAAGCUUAAAUAAAUUUAAAAGACGAGAAGACCCUAUAGAGUUUUAUAAUAUUUUUUAUUUUUAAUUUUUAGAAUUAUUAUUUUUAUAUAAAAAAUAUUAUUUUAUUGGGGUGAUAGAAAAAUUUAAUAAACUUUUUUUUAAUAAAAACAUUUAUUUAUGAACUAAUGAUCCAUUUUUAUGAUUAUAAGAUUUAAUUACCUUAGGGAUAACAGCGUAAUUUCUUUAAAGAGUUCUAAUCGAAAAAGAAGAUUGCGACCUCGAUGUUGGAUUAAAAUUAAGUUUUGGUGUAGAAGCUAAAAUGUUUGGUCUGUUCGACCAUUAAAAUUUUACAUGAUC